GAUGAACGCUGGCGGCGUGCCUAAUACAUGCAAGUCGAGCGAACAGACGAGGAGCUUGCUCCUCUGACGUUAGCGGCGGACGGGUGAGUAACACGUGGAUAACCUACCUAUAAGACUGGGAUAACUUCGGGAAACCGGAGCUAAUACCGGAUAAUAUAUUGAACCGCAUGGUUCAAUAGUGAAAGACGGUUUUGCUGUAACAUAUAGAUGGAUCCGCGCCGCAUUAGCUAGUUGGUAAGGUAACGGCUUACCAAGGCAAAGAUGCGUAGCCGCCCUGAGAGGGUGGUCAGCGACACUGUACCUGAGUCUCUGUCCAGACUCCUACGGGAGGCAUAAGGAGGGAAUCUUCCGUAAUGCGCGAAAGCUUGACGCAGCAACCGCGCGGGAAUGAUGAAGGUCUUCGGAUCGUAAAACUCGGUUAUUAGGGAAGAACAAAUGUGAAAGUAACUAUGCACAUCUUUACGGUACCUAAUCAGAAAGCCACGGCUAACUACGUG
rnacentral:rRNA from 1 species